rnacentral:pre_miRNA from 1 species
AAACAGCCUCCUAUGUUUUGAUUUUUUGGCAGUUUUGGACCCCCAAGGCAAAAAAAAAGACACGUGGCACCUCACUUAGGGUGCCACGUCAGCGUUGACCGAGUCAACAAUGAACUGGGGGUCCAAAACUGGCAAAGAAUCAAAACAUAGGGGGCUGUUU